GGGGGGAGGCCGGAUCCUGGGCUGUGUCCCCGUUUCCCUGUGAUCCCGGGCCUGCACUGUUGAUUUCGCGCUCCUGGGCCACAACGCCCCCU
rnacentral:pre_miRNA from 1 species